GAUGAACGCUAGCGGCAGGCUUAACACAUGCAAGUCGAGGGGCAGCAUAAUGAAGUAGCAAUACGGAAUUGAUGGCGACCGGCGCACGGGUGCGCAACGCGUAUGCAACCUACCUAUAACAGGGGGAUAACACUGAGAAAUUGGUACUAAUACCCCGUAACAUUAUUAGAGGCAUCUCUGAUAGUUGAAAGUUCCGGCGGUUAUAGAUGGGCAUGCGUUGUAUUAGCUAGUUGGUGAGGUAACGGCUCACCAAGGCGACGAUACAUAGGGGGACUGAGAGGUUAACCCCCCACAUUGGUACUGAGACACGGACCAAACUCCUACGGGAGGCAGCAGUGAGGAAUAUUGGUCAAUGGACGCAAGUCUGAACCAGCCAUGCCGCGUGCAGGAUGACGGCUCUAUGAGUUGUAAACUGCUUUUGUAUGAGGGUAAAAUUGGGUACGUGUACUCAACUGAAAGUAUCAUACGAAUAAGGAUCGGCUAACUCCGUGCCAGCCGCCGCGGUAACAC
rnacentral:rRNA from 1 species